rnacentral:rRNA from 1 species
UAAGGAAUUUUCCACAAUGCCCGAAAGGGUGAUGGAGCGACGCUGCGUGGGUGAUGAAGGCCUUCGGGUCGUAAAACCCUUUUGUAAAGGAUGAACUUACAGUACUUUACGAAUAAGCUUCGGCCAACUCUGUGCCAGCAGCCGCGGUAAGACAGAGGAAGCAAGCAUUAUCCGGAAUGAUUGGGUGUAAAAUGUGUGUAGGUUGUUAUAUAAGUCAAAUGAGAAAUCCUGAUGCUUAACAUCAGAACGGCAUUUGAUACUGUUUAACUUGAGUUCGAGCGAGGAGGGCGGAAUUCCCGGUGGAGCGGUGAAAUGCGUUGAUAUCGGGAGGAACACCAAUAGCGAAGGCAGCCUCCUAGCUCGAAACUGACACUGAAACACGAAAGCUAGGGAAGCAAACAGG